rnacentral:rRNA from 1 species
ACCCUUGUCGCAUGGUGGGGGUUGGAAAGAUUUAUCGGUGAAGGAUGGACUCGCGGCCUAUCAGUUUGUUGGUGAGGUAAUGGCUCACCAAGACGAUGACGGGUAGCCGGCCUGAGAGGGCGACCGGCCACACUGGGACUGAGACACGGCCCAGACUCCUACGGGAGGCAGCAGUGGGGAAUAUUGCACAAUGGGCGAAAGCCUGAUGCAGCGACGCCGCGUGGGGGAUGACGGCCUUCGGGUUGUAAACCUCUUUCAGUAGGGAAGAAGCGAAAGUGACGGUACCUGCAGAAGAAGCGCCGGCUAACUACGUGCCAGCAGCCGCGGUAAUACGUAGGGCGCAAGCGUUGUCCGGAAUUAUUGGGCGUAAAGAGCUCGUAGGUGGCUUGUCGCGUCUGCCGUGAAAACCCGAGGCUCAACCUCGGGCGUGCGGUGGGUACGGGCAGGCUAGAGUGUGGUAGGGGAGACUGGAACUCCUGGUGUAGCGGUGAAAUGCGCAGAUAUCAGGAAGAACACCGAUGGCGAAGGCAGGUCUCUGGGCCAUUACUGACACUGAGGAGCGAAAGCAUGGGUAGCGAACAGGAUUAGAUACCCUGGUAGUCCAUGCCGUAAACGUUGGGCACUAGAUGUGGGGGACAUUCCACGUUUUCCGCGUCGUAGCUAACGCAUUAAGUGCCCCGCCUGGGGAGUACGGCCGCAAGGCUAAAACUCAAAGGAAUUGACGGGGGCCCGCACAAGCGGCGGAGCAUGCUGAUUAAUUCGAUGCAACGCGAAGAACCUUACCAAGGCUUGACAUGCACCGGACGGCCGCAGAGAUGUGGCUUUCUUCGGACUGGUGCACAGGUGGUGCAUGGUUGUCGUCAGCUCGUGUCGUGAGAUGUUGGGUUAAGUCCCGCAACGAGCGCAACCCUUGUUCUAUGUUGCCAGCACGUCAUGGUGGGGACUCAUAGGAGACUGCCGGGGUCAACUCGGAGGAAGGUGGGGACGACGUCAAAUCAUCAUGCCCCUUAUGUCUUGGGCUUCAAGCAUGCUACAAUGGUCGGUACAAUGGGUUGCGAAACUGUGAGGUGGAGCGAAUCCCAAAAAGCCGGCCUCAGUUCGGAUUGGGGUCUGCAACUCGACCCCAUGAAGUCGGAGUCGCUAGUAAUCGCAGAUCAGCAACGCGCGA